AAUCAACGCUGGCGGCGUGCCUCAGACAUGCAAGUCGAACGCGAAAGGCCCCUUCGGGGGCCCGGUAGAGUGGCGCACGGGUGAGUAACACGUAGGUAAUUUGCCUUCGGGUGGGAAGUAACAGCCGGAAACGGCUGCUAAUACCGCAUAAUGCAGCGGCUCGACAUCGAGACAGUUGUUAAAGCGGGGGAUCGCAAGACCUCGCGCCUGAAGAGAAGCCUGCGGCAGAUAGCUUGUUGGUGAGGUAAUGGCUCACCAAGGCGACGAUCUGUAACCGGCCUGAGAGGGCGGUCGGUCACACUGACACUGACAUACGGGUCAGACUCCUACGGGAGGCAGCAGUCGGG
rnacentral:rRNA from 1 species